rnacentral:rRNA from 1 species
AACGAACGCUGGCGGCAGGCUUAACACAUGCAACUCGAGCGCACCGCAAGGGGUGCGGCAGUCGGGUGCUUAACGCUUGGGAUUCUAGCCAUCCUGACGGAACACCCCCCGGCAACUGGAGCUAUUAUCGUAUCCGUCACUCGGGAGCAAGUUUUGUCGGGGUUGGAUGAGCCCGCGUUGGAGUAGCUAGUUGGAUGGGUAAUGGCCUACUAAGGCGACGAUCCAUAGCUGGUCUGAGAGGAUGAUCAGCCACACUGGGACUGAGACACGGCCCAGACUCCUACGGGAGGCAGCAGUGGGGAAUAUUGGACAAUGGGCGAAAGCCUGAUCCAGCCAUGCCGCGUGAGUGAUGAAGGCCCUAGGGUUGUAAAGCUCUUUCACCGGUGAAGAUAAUGACGGUAACCGGAGAAGAAGCCCCGGCUAACUUCGUGCCAGCCGCCGCGGUAAAAC